AACGUAGGAGGCAAGCGUUAUCCGGAUUUACUGGGCGUAAAGCGCGCGCAGGCGGCUUUGUAAGUCGGACGUGAAAGCCCCCGGCUCAACUGGGGGAGGCCGUUCGAGACUGCAAGGCUUGAGGUCGGGAGAGGGGAGUGGAAUUCCCGGUGUAGUGGUGAAAUGCGUAGAUAUCGGGAGGAACACCAGUGGCGAAGGCGGCUCCCUGGCCCGCACCUGACGCUAAGGCGCGAAAGCGUGGGUAGCAAACGGGAUUAGAUACCCCAGUA
rnacentral:rRNA from 1 species